GGUAGACUCACCCUUUGUGACGUACCUACACUGUUGCUUCGGCGGGUAGGGUCUCCGCGACCCUCCCGGCCUCCCGCCUCCGGGCGGGUCGGCGCCCGCCGGAGGAUAACCAAACUCUGAUUUAACGACGUUUCUUCUGAGUGGUACAAGCAAAUAAUCAAAACUUUUAACAACGGAUCUCUUGGUUCUGGCAUCGAUGAAGAACGCAGCGAAAUGCGAUAAGUAAUGUGAAUUGCAGAAUUCAGUGAAUCAUCGAAUCUUUGAACGCACAUUGCGCCCGCCAGCAUUCUGGCGGGCAUGCCUGUUCGAGCGUCAUUUCAACCCUCAAGCUCUGCUUGGUGUUGGGGCCCUACAGCCGAUGUAGGCCCUCAAAGGUAGUGGCGGACCCUCCCGGAGCCUCCUUUGCGUAGUAACUUUACGUCUCGCACUGGGAUCCGGAGGGACUCUUGCCGUAAAACCCCCCAAUUUUCCAAAGGUUGACCUCGGAUCAGGUAGGAAUACCCGCUGAACUUAAGCAUAUCAAUAAGCGGAGGAA
rnacentral:rRNA from 1 species